rnacentral:other from 1 species
CAUGCCCUGGGUUAAUCGUGCUGAUUGAAGAAUGUCUUUCUGCCGAUGUAAACCUUAUGGGGGCUGAUGGCUUGUCCGACGUCACGCCUCAUACAGGAAGACGGACGACAUGUUCAAGACGCUCCCACCUUGAUUGUAUGGGUUGAAAGCCCCUUCACCACGUUAAUCCUGGGGCAGCA